UACGUAUGGUGCAAGCGUUGUCCGGAUUUACUGGGUGUAAAGGGAGCGCAGACGGCGGCGCAAGCUGGAUGUGAAAUCCCGGGGCCCAACCCCGGGGCUGCAUUCGGAACUGCGCGGCUGGAGAGCCGGAGGGGCAGGCGGAAUUCCUAGUGUAGCGGUGAAAUGCGUAGAUAUUAGGAGGAACGCCGGCGGCGAAGGCGGCCUGCUGGACGGCGACUGACGUUGAGGCUCGAAGGCGUGGGGAGCAAAC
rnacentral:rRNA from 1 species